rnacentral:rRNA from 1 species
AUUGAACGCUGGCGGCAUGCCUUACACAUGCAAGUCGAACGGUAACGGGCCUUCGGGUGCCGACGAGUGGCGAACGGGUGAGUAAUGUAUCGGAACGUACCUUUCAGUGGGGGAUAACGUAGCGAAAGUUACGCUAAUACCGCAUAUUCUGUGAGCAGGAAAGCAGGGGAUAGCAAGAGCUUGCGCUGAUUGCGCGGCCGAUAGCACAUUAGCUAGUUGGUGAGGUAAAGGCUCACCAAGGCGACUAUCUGUAGCGGGUCUGAGAGGAUGAUCCGCCACACUGGAACUGAGACACGGUCCAGACUCCUACGGGAGGCAGCAGUGGGGAAUUUUGGACAAUGGGGCAACCCUGAUCCAGCCAUGCCGCGUGAGUGAAGAAGGCCUUCGGGUUGUAAAGCUCUUUCGGCCGGGAAGAAAUCGUAUCAGCUAAUACCUGGUGCGGAUGACGGUACCGGCAUAAGAAGCACCGGCUAACUACGUGCCAGCCGCCGCAGUAAGAC